AGCCUCUGCAACUCUCUCAUCUCAGGACCUCUCAGACCCCUUGGAAGAGGAAAGGCUAUAUCUCCAAAAAUAGAUUUACAAAAAAGUCUUGAAGCUGUCUUGAAGAGAAUGGCAAACACGUAGAGAUGAGGCAUGUGAUGGUUUUUGAACUGCACGAUGUGAGGAGGUUGGGAUUCUUCUGGAGGGAGUAUGGAAGGAGAAGGAAUGCACU
rnacentral:lncRNA from 10 species